CCUCAGGGCACUAUAGUGCCAGGAAAACGAGUAUGUUUUCCUGGCACUAUAGUGGUCCUUUAAACAGCAACCCUUCCUUUCUCUGUGCCUGAGCUUUCAGUUGAUUUCAGCUCCUUCGUUAAUGUUGCCACGAUUACUCACCUGAUUGUAGUAACCAACCCUGCUGCUAAUCAGUGCAGCCUAUUUAAGCAGCAAGUCCAGUACCUCCUUGUGUGAUUUCCUGUUUCCCAGAAUACUCCCUGUUUCCUGUGUGUUCCUGAUUCCUGACUUCUGGCCUUGUUCCUGACUCUGCUGCUCUCCGUUCUCCUGACCCUGGCUCAUCUGACUACCCGCAAUGGUGCCUGAUCCUUGCUUGCCUCCUGGACUUUGGUUUUGG